UGGGGAAUUUUCCGCAAUGGGCGAAAGCCUGACGGAGCAAUACCGCGUGAGGGAGGAAGGCUUUUGGGUUGUAAACCUCUUUUCUUAAGGAAGAAGAUCUGACGGUACUUAAGGAAUCAGCAUCGGCUAACUCCGUGCCAGCAGCCGCGGUAAUACGAAGGGGGCUAGCGUUGUUCGGAAUUACUGGGCGUAAAGCGCGCGUAGGCGGGUCAUUAAGUCAGGGGUGAAAUCCCGGGGCUCAACCUCGGAAUUGCCUCUGAUACUGGUGGCCUUGAGUCCGUGAGAGGUGAGUGGAACUCCGAGUGUAGAGGUGAAAUUCGUAGAUAUUCGGAAGAACACCAGUGGCGAAGGCGGCUCACUGGCACGGUACUGACGCUGAGGUGCGAAAGCGUGGGGAGCAAACAGGAUUUGAUACCCCCGUAGUCC
rnacentral:rRNA from 1 species